rnacentral:rRNA from 1 species
CAUGUCUUUUUGAUAAUAAUUUAAAGUCUAAUCUGCUCAAUGAAUAUUAAAUGGCCGCAGUAUUUUGACUGUGCAAAGGUAGCAUAAUAAUUAGUUUCUUGAUUGGGAAAUUGUAUGAAUGAUUGGACGAAAAAAUUUCUGUCUCAAUUUAAUUGUUUAUUGAAUUUUAUUUUUAAGUUAAAAAGCUUAAAUUUUUAUAAAAGACGAGAAGACCCUAUAGAGUUUAAUAUAGAAAAUUUAUUUAAUUAUAGAAAUUAUAUUAAUUUUUCAUUAUUUAGUUGGGGUGACUAGAAGAUUAAAUAAAUUCUUCUGAAUUAAUUGAUGAUAUUCAAAUUUUAAUUGUAAUAUUAUUAAGUUAAAAACAAAUUACCUUAGGGAUAACAGCGUAAUGUUUCUUGAGAGUUCUUAUUAAUAGAAAUUUUUGCGACCUCGAUGUUGGAUUAAAAUUAAUUUAUGGUGCAGUGGCUAUAAGAUUAGGUCUGUUCGACCUUUAAAAUUUUACAUGAUCUGAGUUUAGACCGGCGUAAGCCAGGUUGGAUUCUAUCUUUAAUGAAAUUAUUUAUUUUAGUACGAAAGGACCAAAUAAAAUUUAAAUAUUA